CCCGCGGGGGAGGCCUCCCCUCCCGCCCUGGGGCCGGUGGGUGCCCCGCGCCGGCCCUCGGGGAGAAGCGGAGCCGGCGGGUCCCCCGUGGCUCCCCUCAGGGGCUGCGCGGGAAGCUCGGCCCGGCCCGGCCCGGCCCUCAGGGGGAGCGCGGCACCGGGCCGCCGGGGCCCAGCCGUUUCCUCGGGGGGGCUGGCCGGCCGGUGCCCCGAGGGAAUCCGGUGAGAUCGUGUUGUGUUCCCGCACUGAUUGGCAUCGUUUAAUUGCUCCUGGGCUGUUAAUUAACACCUGGUGCCGUGUUUCCCUCUCAGCCUGGCCGACCGGUGGUUUGCCUCUGAAGGACGUGGUGAGAUACGGUAGAAAGAACAGCAAAGACAACAACACUUUAGUUGCCAUCACGUUAACUGUGCCUGAAGAGGCAGGUGUGCCCACACCUCCGGGGUCGGGGUCGCGGGACGUGUUCACAGCCCUGCCAGGGAGACGGGCUGCACCGCACGGGAGUGUGUCUGCGGUGGGGGGCUCUGAAAACCCCGCUUCGUAGGGGGAGCGAGUGUUCAACCAGUUCAGUUGAAACUGUUACAUUUUCUGUGACAAUGACUCACCCCUCUGUAGCUAAAGCGAAAUCCCAGGAAAGAAGUCCUGAGCUCAGCAGUGCCACCCUUUUCCCAGGAAGCUGAUUCUCCCCGUUUGAUGGAUGUUUUCAGCCCUGACCAAAAUAUGUGGAUCCAAGGAGUUAGACUCCUUGCGGUGCUGCCGGGCGGUUUUGGUGAUGGCUCCGAGCCCGCUGGCACAAACAGGCACUGGGGCAAAGUCUGGCUUCCUGGAGACUGACUCCUGCACUUCCAUAAAACAGAAGGGAACGGGACCCUCAAACUCUUAUCAAUGACAUGCUGGGCUGGGUAAGUGAUGUUUAUUUCAGUUUAUUGAAUUCCCAUGUGGUCUAGACCCUACCGUAAAUGACUCUUGGUGACUUAAGUUAAAUGUAAAUGAUCCCUAAGCCCUGCACUUAGUUCUAUAAAUACUUCCAUCUACUAAGCCUUUCUAAAAGGCCCCAGAACUUUCAUGCUGCUGGGGAAUAGUCCCUUUUUUAACAGGAAAUACUGGCCCAUGACCAGCUGUGCUGUGUUACCCAACCCGAACACCAGCUGUGGUGUUUGGGGCAGCUCGUUUCUCUGACGGGGAGCAGGAGGGCUCUGUGCUGAGUGGCACUUUUCUGUCCUCCUCCAGCAGCUGAGCGUCUGGCUGCGGCUGGCCAGCAUGGAUUCUGGGGCACACAGGUAUUUAAAUCAUGUUCCUUUUAAAACCAUACGUUUUAGUAAAAUUAAAUCCAGUACUGGAGCACCCAACACUAAAAACAUGUCACGUGAAUUCUUUUUAGAACCGUGCAACUCAUGUGAUUAAAAAUCUAGAGGUUUUGCCUGCUUUUAAAGAAUAUGGGAGUUAUUUUUUCUAAAAUUAAAUUUUACUUUGCAAUGUUAAAUUUAGUUUUGUGUUGUAUUUACCACGUUUAUGUCACAAGUGUGAGCAAUUUGUUCUGCUCAUAUUCCCCAUUAAUAGAAUGAUGUUGUUUGUUAAGGAAUGUAGGAUUUAUGCUCAUAUUAAUAUGUUGCAUGUAAUUUGCAUAAAAUUAGCAUCUAGUUUGUUUAGGCCUGAAAUAAUUAUUCAGCAUGAAUAAUUUAGAAUCCAAAAACUUAUUCCCAUUUCCUAUCUUUAAUUACAGCUGUAGAAGGAAAAAAAUUAGACAUUUUUGCAGCACGGGAAGGCAGUUCAUAGCUGGCUCAUUCUGUGCUCAGAAGCACAAGGAGUUUGCAAAAACUUUUUGCAGACUCUGAGCCCUGGGCUCUCUCUGAGUGAUGAGCUUUGAUUUAUCCACAGCUCCACUGUUUGCUGUAUGGCCGGUCAGUGACAAGCCCUGGCUGCCUCCUGGCUGAAGGGCAGGGCCUUCUCAGCACUGCUUGGCCUGGGUUUGGGUACCAAAACAUCUUGCCCACAGCCUGGCACUGUCACUGGCUUUUUACUUUCUGAAAUAUUAUUGCAAACAAAAUAUCAUUUUUAUGCUUGCAUAAAAUGAAUGAAAAAGAUGACAGCUUCCUUCAAAUGAAGUCUUCUGAUUUUAUUCAUAUAAAUUCUGAUAAUAUUUCUUUAAAGCACUCUGUAGCUCAGCCAUCAGCUGCCUUUAAGAACUAAGCAGAAGGAAUGGUUUGUUGGGAGCAUCACAACUUGGGGUAGCCAGUCCCGUUCCCUCUGAAACUUUCAAAUGUCCCUUAACCUCCCCACUUGAGUUUCUAGAUUUUUAUGGGACUGUGAUCCUUUCAGGAAAAAACCUACUGAUCGUUAGACUCACCUGGUUUGUGAUUAACUCUUACUGCACUUAAGAUAAAGACUCAUUUUACCUGAAGCAUAAGAUCCCAGUUUGAACAGAGGAAUGCCUUGUGGAACUGGUGUGGUGGUGAGCAAUGUCUCCUUGUUUUUCUGCACAGAAGGUGCUGGACGUUGCUGCGUGCGGGCUCUCUCCGGUGGAGGCCAGAAGGAGAACAGGGGCUCCCUCAGCGGUGCCAGGGCCUCUCACGGAUGUUUUCCAGUCACUUUGGGAUCCCUGCAGGGGACGAAGGUUCCUCACGUCACCCACAGGGGCUGCAGUCCCGUGUUGGUGCAAUGGUUAUUCUUAGGAGAGUCAGGGAAAUUCUGAUGUCAGAAGUAUGGCUGUUAUCAGCGUGAAACUGAUAACAGAACUGCCAUCGUGUUCAAGCUGGGGCCGCCCCUGACUUGCUUCCUUCCUCUGAGCCUCUGUUCUUCCCGGUGCUGGGGGCUGCUUUGAUCAGGGUUUGGAUUCACUGGUGAUGUCACCGAGUGACUCUAAGAACUUUGCAGAGCUUCCUCGUGAGUCCCUUCCCCCUCACUGCCUUUGACAUUUUUCAUUUAGCAGGCCAGCUCCUGCUUGGGUUACUCAUGCCAGUAAUCCCUGGGCUGGCAGGGGGAUAAUUAGAGAAAGCUGAGUUUAGCUCAAUGGGGAGGUCAAGUUUUCAGACCCACGAUGGGAUCCACACCGAGCAGUAAAAGUGCUUUCUACUGGUGUGGAGUCAACACUUAAAAAAACCUGACGUUUUAAAACAAGUCAGCUGUGGCCCCAAACCAUUCUGCCACUUAAGUCAAACGCUUUAUGACGUUAAUAAAAGAAGGGCUGUGCUAAAUGUGUAUUAUCUUUAUAUUUCCAGGUCUUAGUCCUUAAUUCCACAGAUACUUUCAGCAUCGGGUGUUCACAGGCUGGGAAUCCAAACCCGUGAGCUGCUGGGCAGUGAGGCCAGGCCACCCUCUGACGUAUCCUCCCAGAGCAAUGUCCACAGUGCAAACAAGAACUACUUAGAGUGAUGAACCCUGAGCCAUGCUGCACCAUCUCCUGUUUGAAAGUCUUUUGAGGACAGCGAAAAGUAACAGCCAAGCUGGUUAUACACAAUUACAGGUGACAGGCUGGAGACAGAUUGGGUUCUGAGCGCCGUUUGAGUGGAGGUGAGCCGUAAUCGGACAAAUGAAAGGGGAAAGAUGCUCCCAGUCAGCUGCCUGGUAACUGCAAAGCCCUGAGCCCUCAGGAGAGGAGCCACAAGUCAGCAGAGCACAAGGACAGCAAGGGCUGGGGUCAUGGUCAUAGAGACCAUGAAGACAAGGGCAAUAAUACCAGAAGGGAAAAGGAAGAUCUCACGGAUUGGAGUUGAUUCACCUUGGAGCUGUUUCUCCAAAGGAGAAGAGCUGUAAUGAUAAGUAAUUAAAUCAUCUGUCAUUGGACCAAGCUGCACAUCAAAACUGGUGAUCAGUCACCAGCUGCCUUGCCCAGCUGAAGGGGAGGUGCGGGUUGACUUGUCGUACCAUGCUGCAGGCUCAUCCACCGGCCUCCGAGGCUUUGGCAUAUAAAGCCUUUUCCUUUGAAAAUCGUCACGUGUGGCAGCUUUUAUAAACCGGCACAGCUGAGGUUGUGUAAAUGACUUUUGGUGCUGUUUUGAAUCGUGGAGCUGUUCCCGUCUCCACAGCGAGACCCACGCUGAGAUGGAAGAAUAGCACCCUCAAGAGUUGACAGCCACGCUGCUCCGGGGAUCCGUCCUCUGCACACACCUCCUUCCCCUUUUAGUGAAUUCACUCCCCGACGUAACCCAUUCUCCCGAGAGGAUACGAGAGUGCAAAGCCAACCGACUGCUGGUGGGACAGAGGUCUGUGUGUGCCUCCUGCCAGGCCAAGCCAUGGCGUCCUGGUACGUGGGCAUUUUGUUCCCUGUUUAAGACUUUGUUGAUUAUUUUUAAUCGCAAGGAACCUGUCAAUCCCUUUCUGAGCAAGGAAUUUACUGUCCCGAAUUUCGGGUUUACCAGAACAUCCAGGACUAAGAAUUACAGCAAUUUAUGCAUUUAUUUUCCUCCGGCCGUUGCUGGGUUUG